GUUUUAUAAGGGGCUUUUCCCCACCUUCGCUCUGCACUUCUCCUUGCUGCCACCACGUGAAGAAGGAUGUGUUUGCUUCCCCUUCCUUCAUGAUUGUAAAUUUCCUGAGGUCUCCCCAGCCCUGCAGAACUGAUUCUGUUUUGGGACUCAUCAUUGCCCUGAUGGCUGGCUGCAUCCGGAACACAGAGGAAGAAAGAGUUGCCUUCAAGGACAUGCCAUUUCCAGGAAAAGAGCAAGAAUGUAAAAAAUAAAGAGGUUGAAAUGAGUUUAUGAAGUUACUAAGAACAUUACAAGUGGAAUGAACUCCCUGGAGAUGUGACUCUCAGGAGGGCAGAGCCCUUUGUUCACUUGCCCUAUGGACAGCAUAUUGUACAUCAGUGCUUCCAAAAGGGUGCCUAGACAUACCAGGGGUCCCCAAGACCUUUUAGGGGUACAUGACAUCAAAUAUAUUUUAAUAAUAGUGCCAGGAUGUUAUUUGCCUUUUAAAUUUCCAUUCUUUCACAAGUGUACAGUGGAGUUUUCCAGAAGCUACUCCAAGUAUGGUAUUAUAGCAGAGCAAAUGAAGAAGUAGAUGUGAGAAAUCAGCUGUCUUAAGCCAGAUAGUAGAGAUUUUCAGAAAUGUAAAACAAUGUCAUGUUAAUUUUCUAAAUGUGGGUGUUUUUUGGUUUAGGAAAAUAGUUACUUUUUAUAAAAAUAUAUUAAUUAUGUUAUAAUUAAUUGCUUUAUUGUGAUAAUGUUUAAAUAAAUAUAUUUUAAAUUCC
rnacentral:lncRNA from 1 species